rnacentral:rRNA from 1 species
CCUACGGGAGGCAGCAGUGGGGAAUCUUGGACAAUGGGGGAAACCCUGAUCCAGCCAUGCCGCGUGAUCGAUGAAGGCCUUAGGGUUGUAAAGAUCUUUCAGCGAGGAAGAUAAUGACGGUACUCGCAGAAGAAGCCCCGGCUAACUCCGUGCCAGCAGCCGCGGUAAU